rnacentral:rRNA from 1 species
UACGUAGGGACCAAGCGUUGUUCGGAUUUACUGGGCGUAAAGGGCGCGUAGGCGGCAAUUCAAGUCAGCUGUGAAAUCUCUGGGCUUAACCCAGAACGGCCAGCUGAUACUGCUUUGCUAGAGUGCAGAAGGGGCAAUCGGAAUUCUUGGUGUAGCGGUGAAAUGCGUAGAUAUCAAGAGGAACACCUGAGGUGAAGACGGGUUGCUGGGCUGACACUGACGCUGAGGCGACGAAAGCCAGGGGAGCAAACGGG